rnacentral:sRNA from 1 species
GCCGCCCCGCUUCGUGUGCUACUGCGAAGGGGAGGAAAGCGGGGAGGGGGACCGCGGCGGCUUCAACCUCUAGUGAGUGGGGGUCCGCGGGGAGGUAGGGGUGCAGGGAGCUCCGCGGGCGGCCCCGCCUGACAGGCCUUCUCCCCCAGCGUGACCGACGCCGCGGAGCUUUGGAGCACCUGCUUCACACCGGACAGCCUGGCGGCCCUCGUGGGUAACUGGGCGGGUCUGGGAGCCGCCACACCCCUCCUUGCAGUGCAGAUCGUCUAUGGGGUGACAGACAUCUGGGAUUCCCCAGAAGGCUCUGACACCCUCUGCCCGCCCUGUAGCUGUAGUCCUCACAUUGGCUAGGGCUCUGGGGUCGGGCAGGUUUCGGGUGCUCCCAGUGGGCCUCGGGUUCCAGGCAGCUGGUGACAAGCCCCUGUGCUCUCUAGAAAGCCCGUUUUGGCCUGAGUGCGGCUGAGGACAUCACCCCCCGGUUCAGGUGAGACCCAAGCAGGGAGGAAGGACGGGUGGGGAGGAGGAGGGUCUGCCACAGCUCUCCGCACCUCUCCUCUCCCAGGGCAGCCUGUGAGCAGCAAGCUGUGGCUCUGACUCUGCAGGAGGACAGAGCAUCCCUGACGCUUUCAGGGGGGCCCUCGGCACUGGCCUUUGACCUCUCCAAGGUACCAGGCCCAGAGGCAGCCCCCAGGCUGCAGGCGCUGACACUGGGCCUGGCAAAACGCGUGUGGAGCCUGGAGCGGCGACUGGCAGCUGCAGAAGAGACAGCUGUCAGCCCGAGGAAGAGCCCCGGGCCUGCAGGGCCUCAGCUCUUCUUACCAGACCCAGAUCCCCAGAGAGGUGGCCCUGGACCUGGAGUCAGGAGGCGGUGUCCAGGAGAGUCGCUCAUCAACCCCGGGUUCAAGAGUAAGAAACCAGCUGGUGGCGUGGACUUCGAUGAGACCUGAAGGUGCAGCACAAGCGUGGCCCCGCGGGGAGUCCGCCUGUGAGGGGAGAGGCAGUCUUUGAGGCCCCCAUCAGAGACCCCCCGCCACCACCUCCACCUGCCUGUCCUGGGCCAGGACUAAGACGGCUCCUCAAAUUCCUUCCCUGUCAAAUAAACAGCUCCCUUGG